rnacentral:rRNA from 1 species
UACACAAUGAAUAAGUAGAAUUACAAGCGAUAUAAAAUUAGCCGCUGAUAAUUUGAAUUCUGUUGGACUCUUUUGAGGAUAAGCUCGGAAAUUGUUGCUGAGAAGUUGUAUAAAUUAAGGGUUAUUACUGUGUGGGCCUAAAAUUAGCCAGCACAAAAGUUUGUUAUAAAAUAAUAAAAUAUAUAAGAAUAAUUAUUAUACAAAAUACCACAUUAAAACUAUAAGAAUAAUAACUUAAACUGAUUAGUUAAUAUGCCUAUGCUAGGAUGAGUAUUCAAAUUAUUUAAGUUGAAAAGUAAACAUUUCCUUAAAAAAUAUUUCUAAUAUAAAUUAAAGAAAAGGAACUCGGCAAAUUGUUGUUUCGCCUGUUUAUCAAAAACAUGGCUCUCUGAAAAAAGCAUAUAGAGAGUCGAACCUGCCCAGUGAACAGUUUAAACGGCCGCGGUACCCUGACCGUGCAAAGGUAGCAUAAUCAUUUGCCUUAUAAUUGAAGGCUGGUAUGAAUGGUCUGACGAAAGCAAUACUGUCUCUUCUUUAUUAUCUAGAAAUUAACCUAUAGGUGAAGAGGCCUAUAUUAUAUUGAAGGACAAGAAGACCCUGUCGAGCUUUAAAGUAAAGUGGAACAUAACUAUUAAGAAAGAUUAAUAACUACAUAACUUUUUAGUUGGGGCGACUAAGGAACAAAUAAAGCUUCUUUUACUUUUGUAGAUUAAUAAAUUUAGAUCCAGCAAAGCUGAUUAAAGGAAUUAGUUACCGCAGGGAUAACAGCAUAAUCUCUCUUGAGAGACCAAAUCGAAAGAGGGGGUUGUGACCUCGAUGUUGGACUAAAAUAUCCUGGAGAUGCAGACGUCU